AUUGAACGCUGGCGGCAUGCCUUACACAUGCAAGUCGAACGGUAACGGGCCUUCGGGUGCCGACGAGUGGCGAACGGGUGAGUAAUACAUCGGAACGUGCCCGAUCGUGGGGGAUAACGAGGCGAAAGCUUUGCUAAUACCGCAUACGAUCUACGGAUGAAAGCAGGGGACCGCAAGGCCUUGCGCGGACGGAGCGGCCGAUGGCAGAUUAGGUAGUUGGUGGGAUAAAAGCUUACCAAGCCGACGAUCUGUAGCUGGUCUGAGAGGAUGAUCAGCCGCACUGGGACUGAGACACGGCCCAGACUCCUACGGGAGGCAGCAGUGGGGAAUUUUGGACAAUGGGCGCAAGCCUGAUCCAGCCAUGCCGCGUGCAGGAUGAAGGCCUUCGGGUUGUAAACUGCUUUUGUACGGAACGAAAAGCCUUCUUUUAAUACAGGAGGGUCAUGACGGUACCGUAAGAAUAAGCACCGGCUAACUACGUG
rnacentral:rRNA from 1 species